CCCCUUAUCUCGCCCGUGCAAAUGAGGCUUGGGAGCACCUCGGGAAGGUGUUUUGAUUCCUCCCAGAUAGCAAUAUGUCAGGAGCCCCUGGAGAGGCUGAAAGUAAAUGAAUCAGUGCUAGAAAGUGAAGGAUCUCAUCCGUGCUGAAUGGUGAGAAGGAGUCCUGAGCAGCAUCUCCAUUGAUUUUCCCGUAAUUGACACCCAGCUCGGCUCGCCGGAGGCUGCGCGGGAGCGCCAGGCCCAGGACCCCUGGAAUCAGCUCUGCUGUCGGAGCAGGCCCAGCAGUGACAGAUCCCAGUGUGGCCUUAGCGGGACAGUGGGAGAGACAAGCAGGCACAGAGACCUGCCAGAGCCCCGGAUGCUCCAGGAUUUCCAGGCUCCACAACACGUUAUUUGCCAGAAAUCACCCGAAGCUGGGCCCCUGUGAGCUGGCUGUGCUGUGCAGAACAGAGACCCUGCUCCAAUCAAUAGCCUUUCCACUGUCUCUGCCUGCCCACUGCCCAUUAUUUCCCCGGGUUUAUUUUGCUGACGGUCCCAGCUGCAGCAAUAGGAGCCUUCCGAGUGGUCUGGGGCCGGGUUUGGAGCCCUAACCUGCUCCCUGGCAAGGCUACAGGUCCUGGGGAAAGAGGAUAUCCAUACAAACUGCUUCAGAAGGGUCUGGCAAAAACACCCAGCUCCAUCCCAGCAGUGGAAAGAAUUUGCAGCAGUGUCCAACUGGGGCAGUGCCCACGUCCAUCCCCUUCCUGAGGAUGCGGGAGAUGUCUUGGAUUAGCUGAGUCCAACCUAUGCAGCCCAAAAUUUGGCUCCACGGAUCGCUCCUUUACCAAAGGUCUCGGAAUUUCACUCAUUAACCCCACGCUGUGCCUGUGGGGUUAAUGAGAGAUUUCUAUUCCACACCUCCUCCCCACGUGGGGACUCUUCCCUCGUGGAGCUGCCUCGGGUUAAAGAUGCCUCGUUAUUCCCUCAUUUUUCCCCGCAGAAGUUCCCAUAUCCUGUAAUCAGGGCAUUUUUCCCCCUCUUUUCUCACGAGCUCCCCACGUCAGGCUCUUUCAGCCGGUGUAUUUUUGGCUCCCGGGUAAUUUUGACGGCUAUUUUCUGUUCUCCCCCCCGAUUCCCGCCUCCUUCGGAGCCCUGAGUACCACAACAGGCCGGAGCUCUGCAAUCUCUGCCCACAAGUGCCCCAUGCUGAGGCAGGAGCUGCUCCCCUGCUCCUCACCCCCCCACACACUUCCCCAGGGCUUCCAUUAGCCCAUUUUCCCACAGCAGCUUUUUGGGUCUCCUGCUCCAUUAUUUAUUUGAGGAUAAACACCUAAAAGCCGGCUGUUUUUCCCCGAGCUGUUGCUCCCAGAGUGGUCUCCUCUGGGGUGCCCCCCACGUGACAUUUAUCUCCAGCCUCGGGUACUCCUGGUUCCCUCCCUGCUCCUCUUGUCCAGGCUGUGCCAAGGGGCACCAUCCCACCCUCUGGCAUUCCUUACAUCCUCUGCAACCAUCCCGUGGCUGACGGUGGAGAUCAAACUGCCCGAGGGAAACGCUAUUUACUUUUCCCACUGUAAAAUAUCCCCGGCAAGAAAUCCAAUUCCAGUGCUGGCAAGGACCAAGGGUGUUCCUGAGAGGGGCAGCUCCCACUGGGAGGGCUCCAAGGCUCUCAUAACUCUCCUGUGCCAGCUCCAGAGGCUGGGGAGGCCCUGGCAUGAGCUUCCCUCCGUCGCUGGGAGUGUCCAGGACAGGCUUGGAGCAACCUGGUGUU